rnacentral:rRNA from 1 species
UACGGGGGGGGCAAGCGUUGUUCGGAAUUACUGGGCGUAAAGGGCUCGUAGGCGGCCAACUAAGUCAUACGUGAAAUCCCUCGGCUUAACCGGGGAACUGCGUCUGAUACUGGAUGGCUUGAGUUCGGGAGAGGGAUGCGGAAUUCCAGGUGUAGCGGUGAAAUGCGUAGAUAUCUGGAGGAACACCGGUGGCGAAGGCGGCAUCCUGGACCGAUACUGACGCUGAGGCACGAAGGCCAGGGGAGCAAACGGG